rnacentral:rRNA from 1 species
UACGGAGGUCUCAACCGUUGUUCGGAUUCAUUGGGCGUAAAGGGUGCGUAGGCGGUCGCGCAAGUCGGAUGUGAAAUCUUAGGGCUCAACCCUGAAACUGCAUUCGAUACUGCGUGGCUCGAGUACUGGAGAGGAGACUGGAAUUUACGGUGUAGCAGUGAAAUGCGUAGAUAUCGUAAGGAAGACCAGUGGCGAAGGCGAGUCUCUGGACAGUUACUGACGCUGAGGCACGAAGGCCAGGGGAGCAAACGGG